rnacentral:rRNA from 1 species
UACGGGGGGGGGCAAGCGUUGUUCGGAAUUACUGGGCGUAAAGGGCUCGUAGGCGGCCGACUAAGUCGGACGUGAAAUCCCUCGGCUUAACCGGGGAAUGGCGUCCGAUACUGGUCGGCUCGAGUGUGGGAGAGGGAUGCGGAAUUCCAGGUGUAGCGGUGAAAUGCGUAGAUAUCUGGAGGAACACCGGUGGCGAAGGCGGCAUCCUGGACUACUACUGACGCUGAGGAGCGAAAGCCAGGGGAGCAAACGGG